AUCGAACGCUGGCGGCAUGCCUUACACAUGCAAGUCGAACGGCAGCACGGGGGCAACCCUGGUGGCGAGUGGCGAACGGGUGAGUAAUGCAUCGGAACGUGCCCAGUAGUGGGGGAUAACCAGUCGAAAGGCUGGCUAAUACCGCAUACGACCUACGGGUGAAAGCGGGGGACCGUAAGGCCUCGCGCUAUUGGAGCGGCCGAUGUCUGAUUAGCUAGUUGGCGGGGUAAGAGCCCACCAAGGCGACGAUCAGUAGCUGGUCUGAGAGGACGACCAGCCACACUGGGACUGAGACACGGCCCAGACUCCUGCGGGAGGCAGCAGUGGGGAAUUUUGGACAAUGGGCGCAAGCCUGAUCCAGCCAUGCCGCGUGCGGGAAGAAGGCCUUCGGGUUGUAAACCGCUUUUGGCAGGAACGAAACGGCGCAAGCCAAUACCUUGCGCUAAUGACGGUACCUGCAGAAUAAGCACCGGCUAACUACGUGCCAGCCGCCGCCGUAA
rnacentral:rRNA from 1 species